UACGUAGGUGGCAAGCGUUAUCCGGAAUUAUUGGGCGUAAAGGGCGCGCAGGCGGUUUCUUAAGUCUGAUGUGAAAGCCCACGGCUCAACCGUGGAGGGUCAUUGGAAACUGGGAGACUUGAGUGCAGAAGAGGAAAGUGGAAUUCCAUGUGUAGCGGUGAAAUGCGUAGAGAUAUGGAGGAACACCAGUGGCGAAGGCGACUUUCUGGUCUGUAACUGACGCUGAGGCGCGAAAGCGUGGGGAGCAAACAGG
rnacentral:rRNA from 1 species